UAGCUUAGUCAGUUAGAGCCUGGUGCUGAUAACACCAAGUCGUGGGUUUGAUUCCCGU
rnacentral:tRNA from 1 species